UCUCCGUUGGUGAACCAGCGGAGGGAUCAUUACCGAGUUUACAACUCCCAAACCCAAUGUGAACGUUACCAAACUGUUGCCUCGGCGGGGUCACGCCCCGGGUGCGUCGCAGCCCCGGAACCAGGCGCCCGCCGGAGGAACCAACCAAACUCUUUCUGUAGUCCCCUCGCGGACGUUAUUUCUUACAGCUCUGAGCAAAAAUUCAAAAUGAAUCAAAACUCUCAACAACGGAUCUCUUGGUUCUG
rnacentral:misc_RNA from 1 species